rnacentral:rRNA from 1 species
CAGGAUGAACGCUGGCGGCAGGCUAAUACAUGCAAGUCGAACGGUAACGACCGGUAGCAAUACUGGGGCGACGAGUGGCGCACGGGUGCGUAACGCGUAUGCAACCUACCCUCAACCGGGGCAUAACGCCGAGAAAUUGGCGCUAAUAUCCCAUGUGUAUGGGAAGUGGCAUCACUACCUAUAUAAAGAUCCGUUGGUUAAGGAUGGGCAUGCGUAACAUUAGCUAGUUGGCGGGGUAACGGCCCACCAAGGCGACGAUGUUUAGGGGUUCUGAGAGGAUUCACCCCCACACUGGAACUGAGACACGGUCCAGACUCCUACGGGAGGCAGCAGUAGGGAAUAUUGGGCAAUGGAGGCAACUCUGACCCAGCCAUGCCGCCGUGAAGGAAGACGGCCCUAUGGGUUGUAAACUUCUUUUGCCGCAGAGUAACCCGGGGGACGCGUCCCCCGCUGAGAGUAUGCGGCGAAUAAGUAUCGGCUAACUCCGUGCCAGCCGCUGC